UGCGCCGUUUACUGCACCUGAUUUAUACUUGUCGUUUUAUUUCUUGUUUUCUUUAUUCAUAAAAAUAUAAACUUAAGCGUAUAUGAUACCAAGUAAAAUAAAACAAAACGGAAUUAUCUGAAUUUCAAAAGAACAUUAAAACACCAGAAAAUCAUCAUGAACACAUGUACGAUGCAGGAAAACAUAAAACAUGCAAAAGAAAAUAAAGAAUUACAUGUAAAGUAUAUGUGCGCGCACCUUCAACUUAACUUCAUUUCCAUACCAGCAAUAAAAAGAGAUUUGUCUGAGAGCAAAUGUGCAUUAAUAAUCCGCAAAUUAUGCUGUCACAUGCGACGUGAAGGACUGAUCCAACUGUUAAGCUUAUCGCUUGAUGAGCGUAAGCAAUUCGAAAUAGCAUCGGCGAAGAAUAAUUGAAGGCAUGAUACAAACAUGGCAAGUGUUAUAUAGAAAUUCUCAGCGAAGUCGUCGGCAUUGUCCACAAUCAAAAUUAAAUCCAACAGUUGUGAUAACGUAAAUGUAUUUAUUAGCAAAACUAUGAGAAUUGUAUAUAUAUCAUACAGGAUACGUUUACACCGCGAGGUCCACGAAUUCGGCGGCCAACAUCCACAAAUGCACGACAAAAUGAGAACUGACAAUGAUAAAAGAAUCUAUAGCUAACGUAAUUUAAUUUUUAUCCGCAACUUUCGUUCCUGUAUUCAACAGCUAUGUUAUUAUCGUGGCAUGGAACUUGUAAUUUUAUAUCCCCACGCAAAACUAUGUUUUCACAUACGCAACGGUUUUAAUGUAUGUCUUAUGCAUGAAGUCGUAUGUCACUUUUAUGGCUAAACUAUGGUUUACAGUUCUACGUUAUACUGUACAAUGUCAGCAAGUUAUCAAUAAUGAUUUAGUCAUAUGAAA